AUUGAACGCUGGCGGCAUGCCUUACACAUGCAAGUCGAACGGUAACAGGUCUUCGGAUGCUGACGAGUGGCGAACGGGUGAGUAAUACAUCGGAACGUGCCUAGUAGUGGGGGACAACUACUCGAAAGAGUGGCUAAUACCGCAUGAGAUCUACGGAUGAAAGCAGGGGAUCGCAAGACCUUGUGCUAGUAGAGCGGCCGAUGGCAGAUUAGGUAGUUGGUGGGAUAAAAGCUUACCAAGCCGACGAUCUGUAGCUGGUCUGAGAGGACGAUCAGCCACACUGGGACUGAGACACGGCCCAGACUCCUACGGGAGGCAGCAGUGGGGAAUUUUGGACAAUGGGCGAAAGCCUGAUCCAGCAAUGCCGCGUGCAGGAUGAAGGCCUUCGGGUUGUAAACUGCUUUUGUACGGAACGAAAAGCCCCGGGUUAAUACCCUGGGGUCAUGACGGUACCGUAAGAAUAAGCACCGGCUAACUACGUGCCAGCCGCCGCAGUAA
rnacentral:rRNA from 1 species